UACGUAGGGUGCGAGCGUUGUCCGGAAUUAUUGGGCGUAAAGAGCUCGUAGGCGGUCUGUCGCGUCGGUCGUGAAAACUUGGGGCUUAACCCUGAGCUUGCGGUCGAUACGGGCAUGACUGGAGUUCGGCAGGGGAGACUGGAAUUCCUGGUGUAGCGGUGAAAUGCGCAGAUAUCAGGAGGAACACCGGUGGCGAAGGCGGGUCUCUGGGCCGAUACUGACGCUGAGGAGCGAAAGCGUGGGGAGCGAACAGA
rnacentral:rRNA from 1 species